CACUGUUACGAGGGGGUCCUUGCUCCCGAGCUCCCAAGAUGGUGGCAGGCCACUUCCAAGAUGGUGGCAAGCCUCGUGUUCUCUGACCUGGGGUUCUUGGCCUCACAGAUUCCAAGGAAUAGAAUCUUGGGCCAUGCAGUCAGUGUUAUAGCUCUAUUAGAACCUGCGGGUCACAGAAGAGAACCAUGGAACCCAGUGACUAGUGUUCAGCUCUAUUAGGACGAACCCAGGCACUUAGCCAUGCAGGAACAAUGGCAAGCCUUUAGCCCGAUCGGGAGUGGCAAUGGGCGCCUCGAUGGAUCAGGAGCACAGCGGACACCCUGCCAGAUCUGGAGGGAUGGAAGUCAGCGGUGGGUCUGCGAAAGCGCAAACAGGAGUGGUGGACAGCAAGUGAAAGCUCACCUCGAGCCGUAAGGAACACGGAACAAAAGAGAGUGCAGUUGCAAGAUUUAAUAGAGUGAAGACAGAGCUCCCAUACAAAAAGAGAGGACCCAAAGAGGUCAUCAGUUAGAUGAAUAUGUAUUUGAAAGCUGUUCAUUCAUUGUGGAGAUGUGGGUAGACAGCAGUAAAUAUGCCCCAUGGCACUGAUUAACUCAAAGUGGCUCCAGGCCAAAGAUUUUAUGCUUCAGUGGAGAUAUUUUUGCCAGGAACCAUGUUUACCAGAGAUGUUUCCCAAGAUGGACAACAGACUGACCAUGUUGAUUCAGAACUAAGUACUAAUAAAAAGGAGUUUAAUAAGAAGUCUAAUAGAAAUCAAAUUGUAUUUAUCAACUUUAAUUCUAUUUUAAUGCACGAGUCCUAACAGCCAAACGACUAAUAUGCUGACAUUUCUUAAUUCAUUUUUUCUGACUGUGCUCCCAAAAGUUGUCUGGGCUUUUGCUGUUGCAACUGGAAGAGGCAAAGAAUAAUGAUUAUUAAAAAGUAGGUAUGUGCAAUAUUGAGAUCAUCCGGUGGUUCUUCAUUGCAAUCCAACAGGCAAAGGAGUAAGAAUGUCUGUAAAGUGGAGAU
rnacentral:lncRNA from 1 species